GACGAACGCUGGCGGCGUGCUUAACACAUGCAAGUCGAACGGAAAGGCCCUGCUUUUGUGGGGUGCUCGAGUGGCGAACGGGUGAGUAACACGUGAGUAACCUGCCCUUGACUUUGGGAUAACUUCAGGAAACUGGGGCUAAUACCGGAUAGGAGCUCCUGCUGCAUGGUGGGGGUUGGAAAGUUUCGGCGGUCGGGGAUGGACUCGCGGCUUAUCAGGUUGUUGGUGGGGUAGUGGCUUACCAAGGCUUUGACGGGUAGCCGGCCUGAGAGGGUGACCGGCCACAUUGGGACUGAGAUACGGCCCAGACUCCUACGGGAGGCAGCAGUGGGGAAUAUUGCACAAUGGGCGGAAGCCUGAUGCAGCAACGCCGCGUGCGGGAUGACGGCCUUCGGGUUGUAAACCGCUUUCGCCUGUGACGAAGCGUGAGUGACGGUAAUGGGUAAAGAAGCACCGGCUAACUACGUG
rnacentral:rRNA from 1 species